GUCCACGCCGUAAACGAUGGAUACUAGCUGUUCGGGGCAACCUGAGUGGCUAAGCGAAAGUGAUAAGUAUCCCACCUGGGGAGUACGUUCGCAAGAAUGAAACUCAAAGGAAUUGACGGGGGCCCGCACAAGCGGUGGAGCAUGUGGUUUAAUUCGAUGAUACGCGAGGAACCUUACCAGGGCUUAAAUGUAGUCUGACAGGACCGGAAACGGUUUUUCCUUCGGGCAGAUUACAAGGUGCUGCAUGGUU
rnacentral:rRNA from 1 species